rnacentral:lncRNA from 1 species
CUAGGCUCGGAUAUAAUUACUCUGUGUGGAUUGCGGAUGGCGGGUUGAUAACUAAGAAGUCUAGGGGUUCUUUUGUGAAUCUCGUUUGACGAAAGGGUAUAGGCAAUUCUCCAUCGUUGGAUCCACAACCAAGCGCCCAGAUUAGACCGAGAACUCCAAUGAACGGGUACACAACCACCACCGAGGGAUAAAGAUCCAACGGUGCAGAUUUCAUCCUGCCCUAACUAACCUCAACCACCCGAUCUGGAUCCAACAGUCGCAGGCGAAACGUUAUCUAGAUCAAAUCUCCAUCGCCCACGACGCAUUCAACGACGGGUGAGUGUCUCCUUUCUCUGUCACCUGACUGCGGAAACCAGGACGCGUACCAUGGCGGCGGGUCGCUGGCGCGCACAGGCCCCCGGCCCCUGGUGACCGAACGAUAGUGCUAAAGGAUACUACGCGAAGCGGGUAAUAGCGUGAACAUCAUGGUGGAUGGCUUACCAGUAAUCCAGACGCAGUGACGUAGCACCCGGAUCCGCGGAGACGAUAAACAAGAACGCCCGAACGCCGUCGUGCUUAAGGAGUGCCGCGCCGACGACGUGAGCGACAGCCGAUCCUGGCUGGGGCACAAAUUGAGCAGAGGCUUACGGCCAUAGCAGAUGAGUCCCAAGCGAAAAUCGCCCGCGGCAGAUGAAGUUCUCCGACGCUGUGAGCUCGAUGCCCGUGCCUGGCGGACCAGCUCCCGCGCACGAUUGAUGGCACGGGAUAGUCCUACGGAGUUGCGCACACCUCCCUGGCUCAAUUCCGGUACCCAGACAACGUCGUGGUGGCGUUACUAUGGCACGGCGACGACGACGAUUGCGAAGUCGGGGUAACGAGGAGCGGAGGCUGGGUCUUAUAGCCCUGAGCAAGGAGCUCGGGUACCCGAGGUACGCUU